UACGUAGGGGGCGAGCGUUGUCCGGAUUCAUUGGGCGUAAAGCGCGCGCAGGCGGCUGGGCAAGUCGGCCGUGAAAUCUCCGGGCUUAACUCGGAGGGGUCGGGCGAGACUGCACAGCUCGAGGCGGGUAGAGGGCAGUGGAAUUCCGGGUGUAGUGGUGGAAUGCGUAGAGCUCCGGAGGAACACCAGUGGCGAAGGCGGCUGCCUGGGCCCGGCCUGACGCUGAGGCGCGAAAGCGUGGGGAGCGAUCCGG
rnacentral:rRNA from 1 species